UGGACAACAGGUUGAUAUUCCUGUACUACCGAUAACCGUUUGAGAGAAGGGAUGACACAGUAGGAUAAGCUAAGCACACUGUUGGUUAUGUGUGCACAAGCAUUGAGGCAGUCAAAGUAGGUAAAUCCGCUUUGAUAAUGCUGGGAUGUGAUGGGGAGCGAAAUUUAGUAGCGAAGUAGCUGAUUUCACACUGUCAAGAAAAGUCUCUAUCGAGGUUAAAGGUACCCGUACCGCAAACCGACACAGGUGGGUGAGGAGAGUAUCCUAAGGCCAGCGAGAGAACUGUUGUUAAGGAACUCGGCAAAAUGACCCCGUAACUUAGGGAUAAGGGGUGCCACCAUCA
rnacentral:rRNA from 1 species